AACGCGAAGAACCUUACCUGGGCUCGAACGGCUUCAGACCGUCGUGGAAACACGAUCUUCCCCUUAAAAGGACUGGAGUCGAGGUGCUGCAUGGCUGUCGUCAGCUCGUGUCGUGAGAUGUUGGGUUAAGUCCCGCAACGAGCGCAACCCUUGUCCUGUGUUGCCAUCAUUAAGUUGGGCACUCUCGGGAGACCGCCAGCGAUAAGUUGGAGGAAGGUGGGGAUGAUGUCAAGUCAUCAUGGCCUUUAUGUCCAGGGCUACACACGUGCUACAAUGGCCGGUACAAACCGUCGCAAACCCGCGAGGGGGAGCUAAUCGGAGAAAGCCGGCCUCAGUUCGGAUCGCAGUCUGCAACUCGACUGCGUGAAGCUGGAAUCGCUAGUAAUCGUGGAUCAGAAUGCCACGGUGAAUACGUUCCCGGGCCUUGUACACACCGCUCGCGA
rnacentral:rRNA from 1 species